AAAUCCACCGAGGCUGACUCAGGAAAUCUAAAUUUUGCUGCUUUCCCAGAUUUCUGAAUCCUGGAAGCAUGGAAAACUCCCUGGUAUCUGAGAUAUGCAAGUAGUCUCCUAGCAUAUGAUGUGAAUACUGACAUCUUAAAUGUUCCAAAAUUUCCUGCUUUUGCCUCUCUUGCUGUUGAUACCAGUGGAAAAGAGCAUAUUCUACACAACUCCAGAAGUUAAGCUUUGUAUUUUAAUGAACUUGCAGUUCUUCCCUUGGAAAUAGAAGAUAUAACACUGAAACUACUACAAAUUCUCAUGUGACUAUUAGAACACCUGGCAGUCAAAUGAAACACUCUCUCAAGAAGGUUGGUUGUACACAAAAUUUCCACAGACACCAAAGGAUCUGUUCCUCCAAACAACUCCUGUUUUCCUGGGUAUCUGUCAACUGGUCGCAUUUGGAGACCCUGGAAGGGUAACGUGCUUUGAAGAUUUUGUUUCCUGCUCAUUGCCUGAAUGGGAAACUGCUGAGUUUCAUCUCCUCCCUGCCACAGUUAA